rnacentral:rRNA from 1 species
UACGUAUGGUGCAAGCGUUAUCCGGAUUUACUGGGUGUAAAGGGAGCGCAGGCGGCACGGCAAGCCUGAUGUGAAAGCCCGCGGCCCAACCGCGGGACUGCAUUGGGAACUACCGGGCUGGAGUACCGGAGAGGUAGGCGGAAUUCCUAGUGUAGCGGUGAAAUGCGUAGAUAUUAGGAGGAACACCAGUGGCGAAGGCGGCCUACUGGACGGUGGCUGACGCUGAGGCUCGAAAGCGUGGGGAGCAAACAGG